UGGAUGGGCUCACAGUGGAUGGGCUCACAGUUGGAUUGGCUCACCAUGGAUGGGCUCACAGUGGAUGGGCUCACAGUUGGAUGGGCUCACAGUGGAUGGGAUCACAGUGGAUGGGCUCACAGCAGUCCUCUCACCUGGCUGCACAUCCAAUCACCUGGGUCCUCUUAUAUUUCCCAGGACUCCGUGGCACACCUGGCCCAUUAAAUCAGAAAGUUUGGGGUGAUGAGCCAGGCAUAAAGGCCAGAGGAAGGCAGAGAAGAUGAGGAGACCAGCUAAGUUGCAUAGUGCAGAAUAAUGCACUGCCUUGCAGCCACCCAGACCAGAGUUCAAAUCCCAGCUCUGCUGUGUGCUCUUACUAGGUGAUCUUGGAGAAGCUGCCUGACCCCUCCAGGCCUUGGAACUCUAAUCUAUAAAAUGGUGGUGUUAAUAACCGUCAUCUCCAGUAUCUGUGACGCUGUGGGUUAAGUAACAUCCGCUCUGGCUGUGGGAUCCUAGACAUGUUAUUUUGCCUCCCUCUGCUUCAGUGAACCCAUCUUUAAAAUGGGAAUGAUAACUCUUACUCAUAGAGGUGGAGUAAGGAUUAAAUCCAUUAAAUGAAUCAAUCUACACAAAGUACUUAGAACAACAUCUGGCCUGUCCCAAGAGCUUGGCACACCCCCCACGCCCCACCUCCCUCCUGCGGUCAGGGGCCCCCUAGGCAGGGAUAGUCUCUUGGUGUCUCUUUCUUCUUAAGUGGAAGAUGGCCCCAGGACAGAGGGAGCAGCGAGGGCCUGGAUGCCCUGGAGGAGUGAAGAACCAUAGAGAUUGGUUUCCAAACUCAAAUAGUACUUAGUGAGCACCAGCCCUGUGCCAGGCACCGGGCUGGACACGCUGGCAGCAUUUCCUCUGAUCCAAGUGCAACCCUGAGGGGCACGGUUCCCAGCAUUUCUGGAGGGGAACCCAAGAGUCAGAGAUGUCAGGGACAGCCAACUGCCCUUGGAGAAGCGGAAUAGAAGGAAUUCGAAACCAUGACCUGUGACUCUGUGUCCCCUAUUCUGCCUUCAUCAUGCCACGCUCUUCAUGUCUCAAAUAGAAGUUCCUGCAGAGGAGGUGUCAGGCUCAGCGAGCAAAGCUGGGCCCUGUGGAAUCACUGAAUAGCAGAUUUCAAGUCACUAUAAGCACCCUGUCUAACAGUCCAAGCUUCCCCAAGCUGAGAAGUGCUGCCUUAGGGGGAAUGGGCCCCCUGUCCCCAGUCGUGGCAUCUCAGAAGCUCUUCCUGGCUCCCUGGAUUGGUGUGAGUUCCCUGCUAGGUCAUCCCACCCUAGAGUUCAUCACACUGUGUGGUAACUGAUGGAUCACAGUUACAGUCUGAAAGAGCUUCACUCUCCUAGCGGCAGCAGACCUGGAAUGUCCCAGUGCUGUGGGAAGCCGGCUCAGCGCCUGAGAGUCUCCAUGCUGCACGACCUGGGAAGUGAGCGCCCUUUGAAGGGAAUCACAGCCAAAUCAGUUUUCCCUGUUUGUAAAAUGGGGUGCAGAGCUGAGGAGAGUUGGCUAUCAUCACACUCCCUGCAGAGCAGUGGGCAGCUGACUGGGAAGCCCCGACACAGGCAAAAAACUCAAGGCCUAAAGGAGUGAAAUAGAAGAUCCAGGACCUGGGUGGCUUGAUAAGGAGACAUGAGCACCAAGCUUGUGGUCAGAAGAAGUGGAUUCAAGAGCUAGACAGUUUAGAGAGAUGUUGACAAUAACGCCAGAAACCCAGGCUGAGAACAAUAACCUUGGUGGGCACAGAUGCUCCCUCUUAGCUGUGGGCUUAGGGGCAGUGAAGGCCCCAUUAUCAGGCUGAGGAGACCAACCAAGCUUGCAUGCAGACGCUCUCCGUUCCUGGGCCGGAUCCCGGGAGACCCUGGCAUACAGGGCUUUCUUUCAGGCAGUAACCAACACUGGGGGCUCAGGCCACAGGCACGCCUCACUCAGCUCUCCCCCGCCCUUGCUGCCUCAGGGGCUGGGAGGACAGAAAGCUCCUUGCGGGCAGGCACUUCCCCAGGAAAGGCAGACCGGUGGAGUCUGGAUGCAGAGCUUUCUGCCAACAGAACUUCCCACGGGCAGCCUGAAAUGAGCAGCAAUUACACGUGGCCUCUAGGGCCACAUUUGAUAAGAAGAGCUGCAAUUUACUGUGUCCCUACUAUGUACGAAGCACGUUAAAUUUGUUAUUUACUUAGCAACUAUUCUCUGAGUGCCUUGAAGUGCCAGGCCCUGGCUGGGGACCAGGGGUACAUGGCCCCUGCCCCUAUG
ensembl:lncRNA